rnacentral:sRNA from 1 species
UAAAGGCGAAAUCACACAUGCACCGACACGAGUCUCGGGGUGCUAGCUGCUUAGUCAGUUUAGUCGAUACUUGGGGUGUGUGGAGGUUUAAC